UACGAAGGGGGCUAGCGUUGUUCGGAUUUACUGGGCGUAAAGCGCACGUAGGCGGAUCGUUAAGUCGGGGGUGAAAUCCUGGAGCUCAACUCCAGAACUGCCUUCGAUACUGGCGAUCUUGAGUCCGGAAGAGGUGAGUGGAACUCCUAGUGUAGAGGUGGAAUUCGUAGAUAUUCGGAAGAACACCAGUGGCGAAGGCGGCCCGCUGGACAAGUAUUGACGCUGAGGUGCGAAAGCGUGGGGAGCAAACAGG
rnacentral:rRNA from 1 species